rnacentral:RNase_P_RNA from 1 species
GGAGUCGGCCGGAUGAUCGCUGUGCCCCUUGCGGGCAUGGAGGAAAGUCCGGGCUCCACAGGGCAGGGUGCCAGGUAACGCCUGGGCGGCGCGAGCCGACGGAAAGUGCAACAGAGAGCAGACCGCCGAUGGCCGGCGCAAGCCGGCACAGGCAAGGGUGAAAGGGUGCGGUAAGAGCGCACCGCGCAGGUGGCAACACGCUGCGGCACGGCAAACCCCACCCGGAGCAAGGCCAAAUAGGGGUGCAAUGGUGUGGCCCGCAUCGCACCCGGGUAGGCCGCUUGAGGUAUCCGGUGACGGAUGCCCCAGAUGAAUGAUCAUCCUCGACAGAACCCGGCUUACAGGCCGACUCCAAAU